CAAGGGGGUGGUCGCUGAUGCGAUAGCGUCAGAGGAAAGUCUGGACUUCACAGGAGAGGAUACCAGCGAAAGGCUGGGGGCUGCGAGGCUACGGAAAGUGCAACAGAAAAUAUUCCGGUAACGCCAGUUACACAGGUUGAAAAGUCUCAUUUAAGAUGAGGACAUCUUGCCGAGAGGCAAGAUCGCUGCAAACCCUAUCCGAAGCAAGAAAGGUAGAUGAACGUGCUCCGCGCUAUCUACCGAUGAUCGCUUGAGGGCGGUGGCAACACCGCCCCUAGAUGAAUGACCACAUAAGAACAGAAUCCGGCUUACCCCCCUUGCCUU
rnacentral:RNase_P_RNA from 1 species